CCUACGGGAGGCUGCAGUCGAGAAUUAUUCACAAUGGGGGAAACCCUGAUGGUGCGACGCCGCGUGGGGGAAUGAAGAUCUUCGGAUUGUAAACCCCUGUCAUGUGGGAGCAAAUUACAAAGAUAGUACCACAAGCGGAAGAGAAGGCGAACUCUGUGCCCGCAGCCGCGGUAAUACAGCGGUCUCAAGCGUUGUUCGGAAGCACUGGGCGUAAAGCGUGCGUCGGAUGGUUCGUAAGUCGUGUGGGAAAGGCGCGGGCUCAACCCGCGGACCGCACAUGAAACUGGGAUACUAGGGUAAUGGAGGGGGAACCGGAAAUCUCGGGGGAGCAGGGAAAUGCGGAG
rnacentral:rRNA from 1 species